rnacentral:rRNA from 1 species
UACGAAGGGGGCUAGCGUUGCUCGGAUUGACUGGGCGUAAAGGGCGCGUAGGCGGUUCGUACAGUCAGACGUGAAAUUCCUGGGCUCAACCUGGGGGCUGCGUUUGAUACGUGCGGACUUGAGUGCGGAAGAGGGUCGUGGAAUUCCCAGUGUAGAGGUGAAAAUUCGUAGAUAUUGGGAAGAACACCGGUGGCGAAGGCGGCGACCUGGUCCGAUACUGACGCUGAGGCGCGAAAGCGUGGGGAGCAAACAGG